rnacentral:rRNA from 1 species
UACGAAGGGUGCAAACGUUGCUCGGAAUCAUUGGGCGUAAAGCGCACGUAGGCGGCCCAGUAAGUCGGAUGUGAAAUCCCUCGGCUCAACCGAGGACGUGCAUACGAAACUGCUGGGCUUGAGUACAGAAGAGGAUCGCGGAAUUCCCGGUGUAGAGGUGAAAUUCGUAGAUAUCGGGAGGAACACCAGUGGCGAAGGCGGCGAUCUGGGAAGAUACUGACGCUGAGGUGCGAAAGCGUGGGGAGCAAACAGG